AUACGUAGGGAGCGAGCGUUAUCCGGAAUUAUUGGGCGUAAAGCGUGCGUAGGCGGCUUUUUAAGUCAAAUGUGAAAUCCCACAGCUUAACUGUGGAGGGUCAUUUGAAACUGGAAGGCUAGAGUACGGUAGAGGUUAGUGGAAUACAAUGUGUAGCGGUAAAAUGCGUAGAUAUAUUGUGGAACACCAGUGGCGAAGGCGGCUAACUGGACCGGAACUGACGCUGAUGCACGAAAGCGUGGGGAGCAAACAGGAUUAGAUACCCUGGUAGUCCACGCCGUAAACGAUGAGAACUAAGUGUUGGGGUUACCCAGUGCUGAAGUUAACGCAUUAAGUUCUCCGCCUGGGGAGUACGACCGCAAGGUUGAA
rnacentral:rRNA from 1 species